UGGGGAAUAUUGCACAAUGGGCGCAAGCCUGAUGCAGCCAUGCCGCGUGUAUGAAGAAGGCCUUCGGGUUGUAAAGUACUUUCAGCGAGGAGGAAGGCGUUGUGGUUAAUAACCGCAACGAUUGACGUUACUCGCAGAAGAAGAACCGGCUAACUCCGUGCCAGCAGCCGCGGUAAUACGGAGGGUGCAAGCGUUAAUCGGAAUUACUGGGCGUAAAGCGCACGCAGGCGGUCUGUCAAGUCGGAUGUGAAAUCCCCGGGCUCAACCUGGGAACUGCAUCCGAAACUGGCAGGCUAGAGUCUUGUAGAGGGGGGUAGAAUUCCAGGUGUAGCGGUGAAAUGCGUAGAGAUCUGGAGGAAUACCGGUGGCGAAGGCGGCCCCCUGGACAAAGACUGACGCUCAGGUGCGAAAGCGUGGGGAGCAAACA
rnacentral:rRNA from 1 species